GAUGAACGCUGGCGGCGUGCCUAAUACAUGCAAGUCGAGCGAACGGACGAGAAGCUUGCUUCUCUGAUGUUAGCGGCUGACGGGUGAGUAACACGUGGAUAACCUACCUAUAAGACUUGGAUAACUUCGGGAAACCGUAGCUAAUACCGGAUAAUAUUUUGAACCGCAUGGUUCAAAAGUGAAAGACGGUCUUGCUGUCACUUAUAGAUGGAUCCGCGCUGCAUUAGCUAGUUGGUAAGGUAACGGCUUACCAAGGCAACGAUGCAUAGCCGACCUGAGAGGGUGAUCGGCCACACUGGAACUGAGACACGGUCCAGACUCCUACGGGAGGCAGCAGUAGGGAAUCUUCCGCAAUGGGCGAAAGCCUGACGGAGCAACGCCGCGUGAGUGAUGAAGGUCUUCGGAUCGUAAAACUCUGUUAUUAGGGAAGAACAUAUGUGGAAGUAACUGUGCACAUCUUGACGGUACCUAAUCAGAAAGCCGCGGCUAACUACGUG
rnacentral:rRNA from 1 species